rnacentral:lncRNA from 1 species
UUGAUUUCUUUAUGCCGAUUUUUCUUACCUAAAAAAGAGUAUAAUAAUGACACACAUAUCACUGGAUUGUUGUGCCUGACAAUUGCAAAUUCUCAGUAGGCCAGUAAGAGUCUCUUUGGUGAAUUGAUUUAGUUGAAAUGAAUCAACAGAGAAAUGAAUAAUAAAUUUAAUUUAAGUAAACAUAUUUGAUUACAUUCUUUCAUUUUUUCCACAGCCAUUCUUAAUCUCAUCUUUUUUCCAAUUUGUUUAUUUCAAUGUGCUUUCAGUGUUCUUUCAUCUUAGACUAUACAAACUCCAAGGAUAUUACUUAAUUAUGUAGCCAUAUAAUUUCAGGUUAAAUUAAAUAGUAAUCAGAAUUUUAGCUAGCAUAAGCAGAUGCCAUUUUGGCCAUUUUAAAAAUUAAGCUGCUCUGA